UUGAACGCUGGCGGCAUGCCUUACACAUGCAAGUCGAACGGCAGCACGGGGGCGACCCUGGUGGCGAGUGGCGAACGGGUGAGUAACACAUCGGAACGUACCCAGUUGUGGGGGAUAGCCCGGCGAAAGCCGGAUUAAUACCGCAUACGACCUGAGGGUGAAAGCGGGGGAUCGCAAGACCUCGCGCAAUUGGAGCGGCCGAUGGCGGAUUAGCUAGUUGGUAGGGUAAAGGCCUACCAAGGCGACGAUCCGUAGCGGGUCUGAGAGGACGACCCGCCACACUGGAACUGAGACACGGUCCAGACUCCUACGGGAGGCAGCAGUGGGGAAUUUUGGACAAUGGGGGAAACCCUGAUCCAGCCAUUCCGCGUGAGUGAAGAAGGCCUUCGGGUUGUAAAGCUCUUUCGGCAGGAACGAAACGGUUUGCCCUAAUACGGUGAGCUAAUGACGGUACCUGAAGAAGAAGCACCGGCUAACUACGU
rnacentral:rRNA from 1 species